rnacentral:lncRNA from 1 species
AUAUAACUAGAACUUUGAUUAUGAGCUUGAUGAACGUGUCAAGGAGAGCUCAAGCAUAGGAGGAUAACGGGUCAAGAUAAGGCAAGGUGACAAAUACACUUAUUGGAAUACUCAAGGUAAGUGAUUUCUAUAAUCACUUCUUUAGUUGUUUAAGUAAUAUAAUGUUUUAAUUAUUAAGUUCAUAUGAAGUUGAGGUUAAAUCAAUGGAUUAUUUUGAUAAAUGCACGAAUGGGUCGAAUAAUUCAUAGAUGAAUAACAAGCCGAAUACGUAUAAGUUAAGAAAUUCCUUAACUCGGAUGUUGGACUUCAAGAUCACGUGAUAGAAUAUUAAAUUACAAUCAUAUAGGAAGAAACGUGACGCAAAACGGACGAAAAAUGAGAGAGUUAUGUCCGUUUCAGUAAGGAUUAAUGGCUAGGAAAAGUGCAGAGUUGACACGGCCGGGUGGUGAACUGACACGGCCGGGUGAAGGUUCUGUCAAAAAUAUUAUUUAUGUGAUUUAUGCGCCGUAGGCUUCGGUAUAUUAUCCGUGAACUACGACGGGCCUCCCAAACAUGAUUUUGAGUGUUUCCUUGACGAUUAUAAGUUGUAAACCCAAGUCUAAGCCUCAUGUAAUUUAUAUAAGAGUGUGAUAGAUGUAUGUAAUGAAGUUGGACAUGUAUUACAUGUAAAUGUAUACAAAAAUACGUACGGAACACGUAGGUAUGAAUACAUGAUUGUAGGUAUGAUUA